UUAAGAACCUUGUUUAUCAGUCAUCAUUGAUUCUCUCUCCUCCCAAUCUUACGCACCAUGCCGGUCAGCCAACGGAGGUCGUCUCUCCUUCCUCCGUGCCUCUGUUCGCCUAUCCUUACUCUGUGCUGCCAGUCUAUGCUUUGCUUCCUCCAUCUUGGCUCCUCUAUGUCAUCUGCCUCAUCGCUGGUCUUUGCCUCCUUCGUGUGCCUCGUUGUCAUUUUCGUGUGGUUGUGUUGAAGCUCCAAAUUCCGAAGUUGCUUUGUCCUGGACUCAACUUCAACUUCUGCUUUUAUAGGAUAGUUUUGUUUUAUUUUUUCAGUUAUUAUUUAAUCUUUAUUAAUUUUUUAUGCUUAGUAUUUUUAGUUUUAAUGCAGUUUUAGAUAAACUGAUAAUUAGUUAUACUAAUUAGAUAAUAGUUUAUGAAGAUGAAUAACUUUUGUGGUAGUUUUGAUGGAGAAAUUUGUUCUAAAAAGCUGAUCAAGAAAAAAUUAUUCAGGUUUAUUGCUUACUUUGGCAGCUGCUAUGUGGCAUAGUUUUGAGCUUGAAAGAGGAUUGGGUUAAGGGAAUCUUUAUCAUGGUUAAAGUUGCCUAUGAAUCCUUCAGAUGGUGAUGAUAAUGUCAAGAUUCGCAAUAUUUAGAUUUAUUAGAUAAUAAAAAGAGAAAAAGUUUGUGAUAUUUAUUUAGAUCUCAAAUAAAUACGUUAUGUGUAAAUCUAUGUGGAUAACAUAAGAGAAGAAACAUUGGAUUUUUGAGUUCGAAAGUAACCAAUUUAAACUUGCAUAUCAUAAUUCUGUUGAAGAGAAUCCUAUUAAGGAGUGUUUGUUUUGCUAUAUCAAAGUCUCUUUACUUAUUUAUAUCACCAUACUUUUUGAUUAUUUAUUUAAUAUCAUUGUUAAUUUUGUUUUGUAUUGUUUUAUCAAGUACUUAAUUACAUCAUAACUUUUGAGUGGUAAUUGACUUUACCAAUUAUGCUUUAAACUUAGUAAAGGAAUGCAUAGGUAAGAAUGGGAAUGUACUUUAGAUUUAAUAUCUAUUUUCAUAUUAGCUAUUUUUAAGAAGUCAGACUUGAUUGUUGUUAAAAUAUUAGUGAAGGCAUGUAUUUUAAAUUUUAAUUUUUUACUUUUUAAGGAUUUUAUAUUUUUAGUUAAGUGAGACUAAGUAUACCGAUUCAAUCAGUUAUCCACUAGUUGAACUAGUAACCUAGUGACCUAGUAUUCUGACUAGUUCAAUUAUUGGUUCUGUUCUGAUAACUAUGCCCAUAGUGUCAAAAAGGAUCAUAUUAUAAAUGUGAGAGGACUUCUUCCAUCACAUCAUGUUUGGAUUGGUAAGAACCAAUUCAUGAGUUAUCCUAUUACCACUUCUCUUGACAUGGGAACAGAAAAUGGUUCGAAAAAUACUAGAUAAUCGAAGGCAAUCAGUAAUUAAAGUAGCAAAAUAGUUUCAUGCUCUUUCUAAGAUCUAAGACCUUGGAUAACUUUUAUACUAUCACUUUUCAAAAUUACUUCAAAAAAAUAACAAUAUUGGGCCAAUCUAAGGCCUAAAACAUAAGCAAAGGCUUUAGCUUCAGAGGAUAAAAGCCAACUCCUAGGUUCCAUGUGUUUGCAACUGUAAUUAGUCUCAGCAGAUUGCGAAUCACUACACGUAAUCUAAUUAAGCCAUCAUUACUCCUUAUAACAUCUACAUUAAUUUUUCAAAGAUGGGUAGGUGGGCUCUCCCGUCUAUCAGCGCUUAAUGCUCCUAGAGGAGGUUAGUCGGGCUCUUGUAUCCAUGGUUGGACCGGGUGAGCACCUUUUUAAACUCUUCAUGAUUUCUCGUUGCUAAAUCAACUACUUUUUUAGGAUGUCUCAGCUUCUCCUCGAGCAUGUAUGUGUUGUGAGCACUCCACAAAGCAAGCAGACUUACACAGAAGAGGUCUUGUCUCUCGACGUCAAGCUCGGAUAAAAUUGCAAUGAUUCAAUUAGAAAUUGAGUCGUCGGCGAUGGAAGAUGCUCGAAUUGCAAGACCAGAAGACUUUGGCAAACUCACAAUUUUUGAUAAGGUUACGGUUAGUCAGAAUGGAGCCUUUUAAGACUCACCAAACAUAAUCGAAGACUUUAGAAUAAGCUUGGAUUUUGCACAAGUUUCUCUAGUGGGAUUUGUUAUAUUUGGUUGUGACUUUUGAUAUGCUCAAGUGCUAUUCAUAGGAUAUAAUUCUGUGGUAUGCAUAUUUAAUUCUAAAGUCACCAUCUUUAGUAAAUUUCCAGAAAAAAUGAUCGUGUUGGCAACUACGGUGAAUUUUUUUUGUCCUAAUUGAUCUCACAUCUUCUACCUUCUAUAAACCUCCCAUUUCUAAGAUAGAUUUGCUACUCCAAAUACUCCUCAAAGUAUAGCUAGGUGUGUGACCUACUACUGAAUCUAAGAAGCUAGUUUUGGUGUAGUAUCUGGCACUAAUAACUCUAGCUGCUAAGAAAUUUAGACGUCUGUCUUUGCUAAAAGAGCGUGAUUAAAAGCCUCAAAGUUUCCAAAAUCUAGCUUGCCUUCCACUUUUUCUUUACUCAGUUUUUUCUAACUCACCCAAUGAAUUUUGAAUAGAAUUUACAAAAUCACAUCUAGAUGUUGACAAAAGCUUUUAGGAAUGAGAAAACAUCCCAUAAUAUUGGUUGGGAUGGAUUGAACAACAGUUAUAAUGAGAAUUUCUUUGCCACUCUAGAUAGGUAUCCCUCCUUCUAACCUUUUAGCUUCUCCCAAACUCUUUUCUGAAAUCAAAUACUUCUCUUUCGGAUCUUUCUACAAAGGUAGGGAGACCCAAGUAUUUAGAAUGGUAAUUCAACGCCUUUAUCCCAAGCUAUUGUUGAAUGAGGAUUUGCCUAUUAGUUGGUAUGUUUUGGCUGAAAUAAACUUCCGAUUUGUCUAGGUUUAUCCUUUGACAAAAAGCUAACCGGUAAAUUCAGGAAACAUCUAUGAUUUUCUUUAUGUCCUAGUUUGUAGCUCUAAAGAAUACGAUGCUAUCGUACACAAAGAAGAGGUGAUUAAUCUGUGGUGCUUGUCUGACAAUUUUAAUUCUCCAGAUAAGUUUACUAUUCUAAAAGAACUUAAGCACAUAAAAUAAAGAGAUAAUGGGAUAUUAGAUUUCCUUAUCGAAUUCCUCUAUAGGGUUUAAAGGUAUUGCUAGGGGUUUAAUUUAGAAGGAUUGAGAAGGAGAUCGUGGAGAAGGAUACUCAAGGCCUACCCUGCAACCACCAUCAAACCUUGCUCGAAAUAUAUCUGACUUGACUAAACAAACUCGACGAGCAUAGAAUCUUUUUCCUGUAGAAGAAAAACAGGACAAAUCAGUACAUAAACAAGAAUCAACUAUAAAUUUUAAAAAUAAAAAAUAAAUAAAAAAGAAUUUAGCAGCAACAUAUCCACCUUCAACCAAGAAUGUGACAUCAGAGAGUUUUGAAUUGUUAACACAGUGUUUGCCUAAGCACUCCUACAUAAAUAUAAAUAGAUAUUAAUGCAAAGUUGUGGGCAAAAGGUUUUAAGGAAUCACUUUACCUUUAUUUUUCAUUGAUGUAUAAACCCAAAAAAACUAAAAUUAAAUAAAAUAAAAAGAAUAGCCAAAGUACAUGGGGAGUUAGCGAUGAAGGUGCAACAUCAAUAAGAAUCAUAUUCAAUAAAACACUCAUCAUAGGAUUCUAUAAUUUGCAAGAAAACUCACUUUUCUCUAGAUCUUCUCCUCAAAUCUUGUUAAGAUUUUUGUUACACACUUUCUAGUUGACUACAAGUCAAACAAAAACCAAUUAAACUUAUGAAUUAUAGAGAGAUAGAACUAUAGAAACUCUACUUAAGAACAUAAACAAUUUUAUUAUCAUCAAAGACAAAUACCAAUAAAUUAAACACAAGUCAAUAUAUGAUACUAGGGAGUAAAGGAAAGAAGGGCAUACUUGAGCUUUGAAACUUUCAUCCUAAAGUUUGUGAAAACCACCAGCCUUAACACAAAGAAGAAACCCAACCAUGAACUUACAAAUUUACAUUAUAUAUUCUUUUGGAAAGCUUCUAUCGAAUAGAGACUAUCAGAACAAGAUGUAGAUAUAAAAAUCUUAAGAUUUCUUUAUCACAAUAUUAUCACCAACAUCUCAAGAUACUGAAUAUUAAAA